rnacentral:rRNA from 1 species
AUCGAUGAAGAACGCAGCGAAAUGCGAUAAGUAAUGUGAAUUGCAGAAUUCAGUGAAUCAUCGAAUCUUUGAACGCACAUUGCGCCCCUUGGUAUUCCGAGGGGCAUGCCUGUUCGAGCGUCAUUAUAACCACUCAAGCCUCGGCUUGGUCUUGGGGUGCGAGGUUUCUCGGCCCUUAAAAUCAGUGGCGGUGCCAUCUGGCUCUAAGCGUAGUAAUUCUUCUCGCUACAGAGUUCCGGGUGGUUGCUUGCCAGAACUCCCCCCUUUUAAGGUUGACCUCGGAUCAGGUAGGGAUACCCGCUGAACUUAAGCAUAUCAAUAAGCGGAGGAAAAGAAACCAACAGGGAUUACCUCAGUAACGGCGAGUGAAGCGGUAACAGCUCAAAUUUGAAAUCUGGCUCUUUCAGGGUCCGAGUUGUAAUUUGUAGAAGAUGCUUUGGGUGAGGCUCCGGUCUAAGUUCCUUGGAACAGGACGUCAUAGAGGGUGAGAAUCCCGUACGUGACUGGGUGCCUUUGCUCGUGUAAAGCUCUUUCGACGAGUCGAGUUGUUUGGGAAUGCAGCUCAAAAUGGGUGGUAAAUUUCAUCUAAAGCUAAAUAUUGGCCAGAGACCGAUAGCGCACAAGUAGAGUGAUCGAAAGAUGAAAAGCACUUUGGAAAGAGAGUUAAACAGUACGUGAAAUUGUUGAAAGGGAAGCGCUUGCAACCAGACUUGCAUGCUGUUGAUCAUCCGAGAUUUUUCCCGGUGCACUCGGCAGUAUUCAGGCCAGCAUCGGUUUCGGUGGGCGGAUAAAGGCCUUGGGAAUGUAGCUUCUUUCGGGGAGUGUUAUAGCCCUCGGUGCAAUGCGCCCUACCGGGACCGAGGACCGCGCUUCGGCUAGGAUGCUGGCGUAAUGGUUGUAAGCGACCCGUCUUGAAACACGG